UUGAGUACUUGAGUGUUUUAGAUAAAAAAAUUGAAGAAUUUAGAACAAGCGUAUUAAAAUCAUAUAUUGAACACCCUUUGUACACAAAGUGUACAGUAUUCAAGCUACAGAUCUUUAUUUAAUCCAAUCGUUUAGAUUGGUUUCUCUUUAUCCCGUAAAUCAUUAGAAUCAGCGUUAAGUAACUUUUUCACAAUUUACGUAACACGGCUACCGUAAGAACAAUUUUAAUUCGAAAUAAAUGAUUCCGUUAAUUUCGCUCGCGCCAGUGACUGGAGUUAUGCGCAGACCUUUGCAUUUCGUAAUCACCGAAGGUGUCAACGUCAUCGGCGAAGUAUGAACGCUGGCACGUGUGCGAAUAAGUUCAUCCAAUUAAUUAUGGCGGAGCAACGAACCAACUCUGAAUCGACAUCGAGGACCCCUGCCACACUGCAACGUACAGUAUCAAGUUUAACCACACGUACUUAAUGUUAAUUAUGCAAUGCUGAACCGGACGAAAAGGACUCGACCUUUAUCGGUAGAUACUAUAAUAUAUGAUAACACACUAAACUGUUGAUUAUGCAACACAUAAGAAGCAAUACAAACGUACAGAUUUCGGCUAAUGAGCGACAAAAAUUGCUCUCAACUGGAAAUUUAAGUGGAAAGAAGAGUUUUCAAAGGGCACUUCAAGCUUGCUGAUUACAACCUGUCGAGUUUUGUUCCAUGAUUGCCCCGAAAGAAGUCCUUUAACGUGUCUCGUUUGGUCCUUAAUGGCGUUUAAGUCGAGUACCAAACCAACAGGUUAAGAUCUUCCGACAGGUUAACUGAUUUUAACGGGAUUUUAAAAAUGUCUUGUUAACAGAAUAUUUCGUAACGAUGCUUUCUGUACGGUCAUUAAACAUUGGAAGCUCACAUUGGAAGAACAUCUGAUGCCACUCCAUCAUUUUUGUACAUAAAUAUGGAAAAUCAUCAAAUUUAAAAAAAGUUUAAUUUUACAAAUUUA